ACAGCACGAGCGAACAGAUGAGAAGCUUGCUUCUCUGAUGUUAGCGGCGGACGGGUGAGUAACACGUGGGUAACCUACCUAUAAGACUGGGAUAACUCCGGGAAACCGGGGCUAAUACCGGAUAAUAUUUUGAACCGCAUGGUUCAAUAGUGAAAGACGGUUUCGGCUGUCACUUAUAGAUGGACCCGCGCCGUAUUAGCUAGUUGGUAAGGUAACGGCUUACCAAGGCGACGAUACGUAGCCGACCUGAGAGGGUGAUCGGCCACACUGGAACUGAGACACGGUCCAGACUCCUACGGGAGGCAGCAGUAGGGAAUCUUCCGCAAUGGGCGAAAGCCUGACGGAGCAACGCCGCGUGAGUGAUGAAGGUCUUCGGAUCGUAAAACUCUGUUGUUAGGGAAGAACAAAUUUGUUAGUAACUGAACAAGUCUUGACGGUACCUAACCAGAAAGCCACGGCUAACUACGUGCCAGCAGCCGCGGUAAUACGUAGGUGGCAAGCGUUAUCCGGAAUUAUUGGGCGUAAAGCGCGCGUAGGCGGUUUCUUAAGUCUGAUGUGAAAGCCCACGGCUCAACCGUGGAGGGUCAUUGGAAACUGGGAAACUUGAGUGCAGAAGAGGAGAGUGGAAUUCCAUGUGUAGCGGUGAAAUGCGCAGAGAUAUGGAGGAACACCAGUGGCGCAGGCGGCUCUCUGGUCUGUAACUGACGCUGAUGUGCGAAAGCGCGAGGGAUCACACACGAUUAGAUACCCUGGUUUUCCACUCCGCAUAAA
rnacentral:rRNA from 2 species